rnacentral:rRNA from 1 species
AUUGAACGCUAGCGGGAUGCCUAACACAUGCAAGUCGAACGAGUGGCGGAAGGGUGAGCAAUAUAUCUGAACGUGCCCAGUAGCGGGGGAUAACUACUCGAAAGAGAGGCCAAUACCGCCUACUUUUGGAGCGGCCGGUAUCGGAUUAGCGUGUUGGUGGGGUAAAGGCUCACCAAGGCGACGAUCCGUAGCUGGUUUGAGAGGACGACCAGCCACACUGGAACUGAGACACGGCCCAGACUCCUACGGGAGGCAGCAGUGGGGAAUUUUGGACAAUGGGGGAAACCCUGAUCCAGCCAUCCCGCGUGUAUGAGAAGGUCUUCGGUUUGUAAAGUACUUUUGGCAGGGAGGCGGUAUCUACAGAAUAAGCACCGGCUAACUACGUGCCAGCAGCCGCGGUAAUUC